UAGCAAGCGGGAAGGACAAGAUUCAGCCCAAGGCGUCCUCUGGGCAAAGCCUGCACACUUAACUCUGCCUCAGGAUUUCUGAGGGGAAAUAAGACAGACAAGUGAAGCUCCCCACGUGCAGGCAGUCCUCCCUCCUGCUUCCAGCCCCUUCCUGUACCUCUGGCUCCAGGGAUGCUGACUCUCCGCGGCCCCUGCUCUCCAGCCUUCUGGGACUCUCACCAUCCGCUCAGCCUAUACAGCCAUGAGGGCGAAUGGUGAGCUUAGCCAUCCUAAUAUAGCUGAUCGUCACUGAGCACCAGGUGCCUUCCAAAGAUCAUCUUAUGUCAUCCUCACCAGAAACUUGCGAGGACACAGUGACCCCACAACACCCCUGGGCAAACAGGCAGGGAGAAGUGAAGCUACUUGCCCAAGAUCACCCAGCUCAAAAGGGCCAGAGGACGGAGAAGCUGAGAGGAAACCCCGGUGAAGAAGAGGCAGUUGUGUGGGAGAAGCCUUUGCCGUCUCUGGAGGGCCUUACAGCCCAAGGGAGGGGCUCUCCGCAGCUCGGAGCCCAGGCCUAGCUGAGGAGGGGGCCAGAAGAUACUCACAAGCACACCCUGUGCCUGCGGCCCGCUGCCUGGUGCAGCCCCUCUGCGUGCAGCUUCCUGGCUCUGAAAGCCGCUGCCUCAGACAGCUGAGUCUCCAGCCUUGUUCUGCUUCGCUCCCCUGAAAGGAAGAGAUCAGAGGCUGUCGCCGUGAUGGAGCAGCCGCCAGGAUCCGAGGCACAAAGCACUAGGGGCAGUGGAUGUCUUUAGCAGGCCACAAAGCCAGGGCCAGUGCCCUACUUACGGCUGUGACUUCCCUUAUUGGGAGCUGCCUUCUGCUGUGAGGCGCCUGGGGUCAGCAUGCUGAGUGUUGGGACUUUAUCCUCCUUGGCCAGCCUCCCCGGGGAGAUGAGCCCUUGUUAGAGCCAGCCCCUGGCAUCCUGAAAGCCGCUCGUACCUCAGCCUGGAAGACAUUUCUGGGUUCAGGGGAGAAGAAAGCAAUCAGAGGGAUGCACACAGCUGCUCUCAGCCUGACGGGCCUCCACACCGGGGAUCAGAGCCAACUCCCAAAGGCAGGACUGGUGCCCGCCUGGCUCAAAAGCAGCAUUCGCCCCUCCCCCUGGACUGAGGCCAGGGCUGCAGCAUCUGCCUCAGAAAGAAAAGUCCUCGGAGAGGCUGAGGACAGGCCAAGGGCAACCUGGCCUCAUCCUGCCCUUGUGAUGGCCUGUAGGUGGGGUGGACAGCAGCCCUGAUGCCCUCCCUGGGCUGUGAGUGUCUCAAGGGCAGGAACUGUGCUCCACCGGACUCAGUACCUUCUGGCACAGGUUAGCAUUUACUGGGCCAGGCACUGUUCUGAGUGCUUUCAGUUAUUAACCCACUAACCCUCACCUCAACCCCAGGAGGUAUUUUUCCCGUUUUUCAGGUGGAGAAACUGACAUACAGAAAGAUUAGUUCAUAAAGCUCGUGAAUGAGGAGGCAGGAUUUGAAUCCAGGCGGUCUGACUCCAGGGCCCAUAUUCUUUACCAUUGUACUACUGUGACUCUCAAUGAAUAAACAAUGGAGAAAUGAAUGAAUAUAGGAAUGAACUGAUGAAUAAAUAAAGCAAUCACUUACUGACUUGUAGAGAGAAUGACGUAAAAGCCCCGUUCAGGAUUACUUCCUCUAUUAACAGUUUCAGGGCCUGUGAAUCUGCCAUUGAAAUGCAUCCCUUUGAGUUUUAGUCUGUGAUUGUCUUUAAAAAAUGCCCCUAAGAAAUUGGGGUAAUGACAAUUAUCGCCAUGCUCUGUGGCCCCUGGAUGUCUAGGUGAGGCCUAAGGCCUGGGGAGAAGUCAACCCCAGGGAUGAGGGGAGAGGAACGAGGAGCUGGGCGUUUCUGUGGAGGAUGCUGCUGUUGCUGUUCUGCUGUGGUGCGGGGCUGGGCCACCGGCUUUCAAGCCUCUGAGCCAGACUGUGCCUCUUACUGGCUCUGUGGCCCUGGGUGAGCCACAUGGCCUCUGGGAGCCCCUGUUUUCUCAUCCAUCAGUGGGGAAUACCAAUAGCUACCUCGCAGUGUGUGAUUAAAUAAACUGCUAUUGGUAAUGGGUCCUGCACAGAGUAGAUGCUCCACGAAUGGGAGCUGUUAUUACCCAAAUUAUAGCCAAAAAGUAUGUCAGGAAGGAUCACCGGCCUGCUUUUCCUCCUACACUGCUUCCCGCUCUGGAGACCCUAUUCCUGGUGUCCCAGGCACUCCCAUCAUGACCCCCAUCUCCCCAGCCCUGCCAGCCUUCUCUCCAGUAUCUAUCUUUCCAGGUUGUCCCCGGCCUCCCUUCUCCCACCUCUGCCCUGGCCGGGGCUCCCACUAUCUGCCAUGUGAACUCUGUCAACUCUGAGACAUCCAGAGAACACACCUCGGAACCAGGUGGAAGCAGGUCCUCCUGUAGCACCCACCUCUCCGUUUCCCAUCCUUGUCUAGUUCCAACUCUGCCAACUUGGACCUCCAGCUGCCUUCACCUCCACCUCUUUUUUCUCACUUGUUUCUCUCUCCCUGUCCCAUGGGUCCCUUUGGCUCGAGUGACUAAUUAAAUUAUGCAGCAGGUGGCAAUGAAGACACCCUCUCCCUUUCAAGUGCUCAUCACAGGGUCAUGCACGACAGCCCCAGGACACAGGAUAGGAAGAGCCCUGGCCCUGGCAGCAGGAGGAUCCUUAUGCAGCCAGUGACCU
rnacentral:lncRNA from 1 species